GCUGUGUGCUAACAGAGAGUCAUAGUUAGUUAAAGGUCCACUGCUGUGUCCUAACAGAGAGUCAUAGUUAGUUAAAGGUCCACUGCUGUGUGCUAACAGAGAGUCAUAGUUAGAGAAAGGGCCACUGCUGUGUGCUAACAGAGAGUCAUAGUUAGUUAAAUGUCCACUGCUGUGUGCUAACAGAGAGUCAUAGUUAGAGAAAGGGCCACUGCUGUGUGCUAACAGAGAGUCAUAGUUAGAGAAAGGGCCACUGCUGUGUGCUAACAGAGAGUCAUAGUUAGUUAAAGGGCCACUGCUGUGUGCUAACAGAGUCAUAGUUAGAGAAAGGUCCACUGCUGUGUGCUAGCAGAGUCAUAGUUAGAGAAGUUAGAGUUCUAAAGGUCCAGAGGUCUAGAGAAUGAGUGUGUUUCUUUAUGACUCGACUAUAAAAAGUCUCACCAAUAUAUCUCUCCUUCCUUUGGAUCUACUUGAUAAUGUGUAAAAAAGCAACUGAGAAAAAAAUGUGUGGGGUUCAGGACUGAGCCUCUGGACUUUAUACCUUCUUCUGGACCCAGCAGAUGUGCCAAGUUGGCACAGAACCACAGGUCUGGUCCGGUUGGGCUGGGCUGGGUCCAUUCUCCUCAGAAGACCCAUCACAUGGUUUCACCAUCUCACGGGCCGCCAGGGUGCUGGGGAUAAUAACAAGAUUUAGAGCCCACUCCCUACAAUGAGAGAG
ensembl:lncRNA